GAGAUGAUAUGCGUAGAUUGUGAU
rnacentral:siRNA from 1 species